GUGGAUUAGAUACCCUGGUAGUCCACGCCCUAAACGAUGAUUACUCGACAUUAGCGAUAUUACAGUUAGUGUCUAAGCGAAAGCAUUAAGUAAUCCACCUGGGAAGUACGACCGCAAGGUUGAAACUCAAAGGAAUUGGCGGGGGUCCGCACAAGUGGUGGAGCAUGUGGUUUAAUUCGAUGAUACGCGAGGAACCUUACCUGGGCUAGAAUGCUGGGAGACCGAUGGUGAAAGCCAUCUUUGUAGCAAUACACUGCCAGUAAGGUGCUGCACGGUCGUCGUCAACU
rnacentral:rRNA from 1 species